UUUUGUUAACUGUGACCGUCAAGGCUUUUUAGAAUUCCUAGGGUUUUGAACAAGUUAACCUCUCCCCAAAAUUGACCGUCACGUUCCAUAUCUCCCAACAGGGCUUAGCAAUUCGCGGCUAUUUGAUUUUGAAGAACUGAUCCUACUUUCGUGAUUGCCAUAAAUACAGGUUCGUAAAUCUGAAGAACUGAUCCUACUUUCGUGAAAAACUAUUCUCAUUUUCUGAUUGAAGCUAUUCGAUUUUUAAGUUUGAUUCAUCUGUUGAUCGUUUAGUUGAACGAUUCUGAUUUCAAUUUCAAUUUGUAUUUAGGAUUGGGGAUCCGAUUUGUUUUUAUUCUUUGAUUUGUAAUUAGAUAGGUUUUCACCAUCUCUAUUGAUAUGAAUGAUUUGAAGUUAGGUUUGGGGUUUUUUUAUUUCAUUUUUGCUUCUUUUAUCCGUUAUGAAUGAUUUGAGAUAAAAAUAUCAUUAUUGAUUUCCCAUAAUGUUUUAAUAAGCACAAUUUUGAAACAAUUGGUUCUGGCUUCUGAUAAGGGUACCUUUCUUUAGUCAAUGGUUCUGGCUUCAUACUUUAAUUUGAUUUGUAUGUGUUGUUGAUCUAUAAAUCUAUAUAAUAAUCUUGCAUUCACAAUCCAUCCCCCAAAUUCUGUGAGGGAACUUUUUAUAUUAUGAAAAAUGAUUGUGAGUAGAGAAGAGAGAAAAUGUUACUCUUCAUAUUUAGGGGACACUGUUCACCCUCUAUUACUUUUUAAUAUAUUUUGGAAGUUGUUGUGAGUGGAAGAGACAGUAAACGUAAUGAUAAAAGUAUAAAAAAUAUUAUUAAUUGAAAUGAGAGGAAAAAUAUAGUUGUUUUUAGUAAAAUUAUAGGUUAAAAAGAUGGAAGGGUUGUGAAUGUUGUUAGGGUACUUAUUGUGAUUGGCGAAUUAUUUAUCCUUAAAUUGUUUUCCCUUGAAGAGUCUGCCAUUUGAAUUUUAAUAGUUUUCUAUCGCAAUAAUCUCGUAUAUAGAUUAAAUAGCCCUUUUUAUGUUGAUGAAACUGAAUUAACUAGUAACUACAUAACCUAUGCUUUUGUGUCAUGUAAUUCAUCUUUAAUCUUGCAAUUUUCUUGGUAUAUGCAUUAUAUGUAAUAGUUAUUUGCAGCUGAUGUUUGCUUGUUUUUCUUUACGAUAGUCCGAUUAAAGGGUACAUAAAAUUCGGUUAUGAUUCUGAUUAUCUGUUAUCAAGUUAAAUGUAAAAGUACCUUUUAACCAUAGAUUUAGCACCUGAUUAUCUUCAGUCUGAUUGUUGUUCAUGUAGAUCACAUAUUUGGUUGGAAUUCAUGUUUUGGAGUUGAGUAACUGGUGCACAAAUUGGAAAGAAAUGAGUCAAGUUAUGUCUUUGUGUUUUGGGUUUAGCGGGUAGGCUUCUUCGAGUUUUCAAAGGUGGAAAUGUAACCCGAUAACCGUACCGAGAUUUGGGUUUCAUUGUUCUUGGGUUUAUUGAGUCAGGUUAUAUUGGGUUGAUGUAAUUUGGUUUUGGGUUAAGUAAAAGGUUGUGAAAGGGCUGAAUUUUGGUAGGCUUUUUUGGUCAUUUAGAAUAAUAUAACAAGCUUAGAAUUAAACUUAAUCAAACUUAUAUGUAACCUAUACGAGUGAUUGAUGUGGAAAAAGGUAGACAUAAAUGACAAUUGUUAUGGAUAUAUUAAUUUCUUGCAGUAAUAAAAACCAUAAAACAAACUUAUUAAUGAAUAAUUCAUAAUUUAAGUUGGUUUUUGGUAUUCCAAUGGUUCAGUGGGUUCAUCAAGGUUAAGUUCAUCAUCUUAUUUUUUGAUUUUCUGCUACUUGUUAGUUUCCAUUUCCUAAAUAUAAAUUUGAUGUUAUACAGGGUAAGAUAUGUUAGUUUUAUGGUUGUCUUUUGCGGAUUAACUAUAUGAAUAUGGACACAUUAAUCUUUUUUUUGUUAAUAAAGAAUAGUACAAUUAAUCCAAGAAAUAGAAAUAAUAAGCCAACUAAGUUUUCUUAAGAACGUUUUUUUUCUCUGUUGCAAGUUUUGGAUUGUGGUGAGAAGAUCAAGUUACUUGUUGACAAGACAGAAACCUUCAAUUUCAGAUUGAAAAGCUGAACUUGGCUGUGAAGAAGAAGAUCAUCAAGCAAAAAGGAAAAAGAGGAAGACCAAGAAAGGUUAAAUGGGGUGAAAGUGAGGUUGUUGGCCGAAAAAGAUAAGGUGGAUAAAGAAGCUAUGCUCAAUAAGAUGACACAAAUUGAAGAUAUGUUAACAGCUACGGUUCGAAGAUAGGCUAUAAACACUAGGUUUUGAAUGUUGAGAUGUUUAUCAUAUAGGAUAAUUACGGUUAUUUGAUGUUUAGUUGAUAUUUUUAUUAGAAUGUUUUAUAUGAUUUUCAAAUAGGAAAAACUAAAUCAGAGAUGUUUUAUAUAGUUUUUGGGGUUUGUAAUUUUAUUAGAGUGUUUAAUACAGUUCUGUAAUUUUAAUGAAGAAAUGUAAAAACUGUAAAGCAGGUCUU
rnacentral:lncRNA from 1 species